rnacentral:rRNA from 1 species
GAUGAACGCUGGCGGCGUGCCUAAUACAUGCAAGUCGAGCGGUAAGGCCUCUUCGGAGGUACACGAGCGGCGGACGGCUGAGUAACACGUAGGAACGUACCCCAAGGUGAGGAAUAAGCACCAGAAAUGGUGUCUAAUACCGCAUGUGCUCUAAGGAGUAAAGCUUCGGCGCUUUGGGAACGGCCUGCGCAUGAUUAGCUUGUUGGUGAGGUAAAAGCUCACCAAGGCGACGAUCAUUAGCUGGUCUGAGAGGAUGAUCAGCCAGACUGGGACUGAGACACGGCCCAGACUCCUACGGGAGGCAGCAGUAGGGAAUUUUCCACAAUGGGCGAAAGCCUGAUGGAGCAACGCCGCGUGCAGGAUGAAUGCCUUCGGGUUGUAAACUGCUUUUAUAUGUGACGUUUAUGACGGUAGCAUAUGAAUAAGGAUCGGCUAACUCCGUGCCAGCCGCCGCCGUAA